UUUAAUUCGAUGCAACGCGAAGAACCUUACCUACUCUUGACAUCCAGAGAAUUCGCUAGAGAUAGCUUAGUGCCUUCGGGAACUCUGAGACAGGUGCUGCAUGGCUGUCGUCAGCUCGUGUUGUGAAAUGUUGGGUUAAGUCCCGCAACGAGCGCAACCCUUAUCCUUUGUUGCCAGCGCGUAAUGGCGGGAACUCAAAGGAGACUGCCGGUGAUAAACCGGAGGAAGGUGGGGAUGACGUCAAGUCAUCAUGGCCCUUACGAGUAGGGCUACACACGUGCUACAAUGGCGUAUACAAAGAGAAGCGAACUCGCGAGAGCCAGCGGACCUCAUAAAGUACGUCGUAGUCCGGAUCGGAGUCUGCAACUCGACUCCGUGAAGUCGGAAUCGCUAGUAAUCGUAGAUCAGAAUGCUACGGUGAAUACGUUCCCGGGCCUUGUACACACCGCC
rnacentral:rRNA from 1 species